rfam:Myotis davidii contig114565, whole genome shotgun sequence.
GGCAGUUCUCGGAUGACGCACCCCAGAAUCAGGCUCCCGCCUUUCUGCCUCUGGGUGCGUCACACAAGAACCACA